UCCAGGCAUGGUGGCGUGUACCUAUAGUCCCAGCUACCCGGGAGGCUGAGGUGGGAGGAUCACUUGAGCCCAGGAGUUCUGGGCUGUAGUGCACUAUGUCGAUCAGGUGUCCGCGCUAAGUUUGGCAUCAAUAUGGUGGCCUCCCAGGAGCGGAGGACCACCAGGUUGCCUAAGGAGGGGUGAAUCGGCCCAGGUCGGAAACGGAGCAGGUCAAAAAAUCCCAUGCUGAUCAGUAGUGGGAUCACACCUGUGAAUAGCCACUGCACUCCAGCCUGGGCAACAGAGUGAGACCCCACCUCU
rnacentral:SRP_RNA from 1 species